CCUGGUAGUCCACGCUGUAAACGAUGGAUACUAGGUGUAGGGGGUAUCGAACCCCCCUGUGCCGGAGCAAACGCAAUAAGUAUCCCGCCUGGGGAGUACGGCCGCAAGGUUGAAACUCAAAGGAAUUGACGGGGGCCCGCACAAGCAGCGGAGCAUGUGGUUUAAUUCGAAGCAACGCGAAGAACCUUACCAGGGCUUGACAUCCUCUGACGGCCAUAGAAAUAUGGAAUCCCUUCGGGGCAGAGAGACAGGUGGUGCAUGGUUGUCGUCAGCUCGUGUCGUGAGAUGUUGGGUUAAGUCCCGCAACGAGCGCAACCCUUACCCUUAGUUACCAGCGCGUAAAGGCGGGGACUCUAGGGGGACCGCCGAGGACAACUCGGAGGAAGGUGGGGACGACGUCAAAUCAUCAUGCCCCUUAUGUCCUGGGCUACACACGUGCUACAAUGGCCGCAACAAAGGGAAGCGAGAGCGUAAGUUUAAGCGGAUCUCAAAAAAGCGGUCCCAGUUCGGAUUGUGGGCUGCAACCCGCCCACAUGAAGUCGGAGUUGCUAGUAAUCGCGAAUC
rnacentral:rRNA from 1 species